UAGAAGAGAUAAUGCUAAAAUCAGUAAUAAGAGAAUAGAAUCUCUCCUGGCAUAUGUGUAAGUCAGAUUGGACAAACCACUGAUAAUUAACGGCCCCAAUAAAUGAGGGUAAAAUAGUAAAAUUAAUAAACAAGAAAAAUCUAUUAUAUUAACCGUUAUUCCAACACAGGAAUGCCUCAAGGAAAGACUAAAAGGUAUGGAAGGAACUCGGCAAACCUAAACCCCGCCUGUUUACCAAAAACAUCGCCUCUUGCUAAUAAACCAUGUAUUAGAGGUCCCGCCUGCCCAGUGACUAUAAGUUAAAUGGCCGCGGUAUUAUGACCGUGCAAAGGUAGCGUAAUCACUUGUCUUCUAAAUAAAGACCCGUAUGAAUGGUGUGACGAGGGUUUAACUGUCUCCCUUACCCUGUCAAUGAAAUUGAUCUGCCCGUGCAGAAGCGGACAUAUAAACAUAAGACGAGAAGACCCUAUGGAGCUUUAGGCCAAAAAUUAAACAUGUAAAGAAAUAAAAAACUCAACAAGAUAAACAAAAAAAUUUAAACUUAUUGUGAUAUAAUACAAUGUGCCUUCGGUUGGGGCGACCACGGGGAAUAAUUAAGCCCCCGAAUGGAAUGGAAUAAGAACUUCCCAAAAUAAGAGCUACAGCUCUAAUUAACAGAAAAUCUGACCAUAAUAAUGACCCAGGAAUAUAUUAUUUCUGAUCAAUGAACCAAGUUACCCUAGGGAUAACAGCGCAAUCCUUUCCCAGAGACCAUAUCGACGAAAGGGUUUACGACCUCGAUGUUGGAUCAGGACAUCCUAAUGGAGCAGCCACUAUUAAGGGUUCGUUUGUUCAACGAUUAAUAGUCCUACGUGAUCUGAGUUCAGACCGGAGUAAUCCAGGUCGGUUUCUAUCUAUGAAUUAUUACUUCAUCUUAGUACGAAAGGGCCGGAAGAAGAGGGCCCAUACUAUAUAGCAAGCCCUAUCCUAAACUCCUGAAAACAAAUAAAAGAA
rnacentral:rRNA from 1 species